AUGUGUUGUGGCCACACUGGUGUUGCAAUGCAAAGGGAAGGAAAUAGAACCUCAUUGAAGAGGUGGUUAACACUGAAACAACCAUGUCACCUAAUGGAACAUCAUACUUUCCCAAGGAAAAAGUUGACCACCUACAAUCUCAUCAGCAAGCAGAUGGACUCAAUUUUUUAACUCAAUUCUUUCUCAGCUCCCUCAGUUGUCUCUCUCUUAUGCACUGAGGGUUUGAGGGAGCUAUAACAAACUCCUCCCAAUUCCUUCCUUUAUAGAGAGCUCAGAACUUUUCAGGUAACUUUCCAUUUUUCAUCAGUGACUCUACUUGAUUUCUACUUCUUGGAAAAUUGAACCUCUUAGAUCCCUCCUCACCUGUUUUAGCUUCUUUUUGUGUAUUGUCUUUUGCCAUUAUAUAAUAAAUUCCCUGAGAACAGAAA
rnacentral:lncRNA from 1 species